GUCUGGGUCAUCCUCAUCCCCUACAGUCUCCCCUUUUGAACUUUCCAGUAGAAUACAAAUUCUGUGGCCCCGCUACUGGCCAAAAACCCACCACCACAUCUUAGUGAGAGCUCCUUGUAUCUCUCUGGCUCACACCAAAAUCUAGUAUUGCAGAUACUCUGUUUGUUUGAUGGGCAAGACAAUGAGAUCAGCUGGUGGUAUGAGAGCCUGAUACAUGGAGGGAUAGUAUACAAAAGUAUGAACACUCACACCCAAUACAAUUUCUCAUGGAGAUAACCUCAACCAGUUCCUUGGAAUAUCCCAAACAUAUCCAUCAACACGGCUUCACCAUGGGCCUCCACACACAGAUUUUUUCCACCUCAGCCCAAAACCACCGAUUUCAACAGUAGUUUUUGAAAACCACGAACUCCUCUUCCUCUCUAUAUAAACCCCUUCUUCAUACCUUGGCAUCACCACAAAGCUGUUUUCCAACAAUAAACAAGUCUUGUAGAAAUGUCUGCAAUGGUGGAGCUGUGUGUGAAUGAGCUUGCAAAGCUCAAAGAAAUGGUCCAAGUCCGGGCCAGGAAGCCAUUCAGGUCUGAAGCAAAAUCCAAACCCACUAGUGAAUUGGGCAGAGAAGGAGAAUUGAAGGAGAAGCUAGAGAAGGAAAGCACACUUUCAGAAGCAACUGUGUGUUUGCUCAUGGACCGUUUUGCACCUUGAUGGUAUUGUGUAUGUAACAACAAUUAUAAAUAUGAAGGAGUUUUGACUUUAUAUUCGUUCAGAAAUGUAUGUUUUUGUAGUUUAUAAGUGAUGCUGUUUGUUUAUAGAAAGGGGUGCCUCAAGGAAUCAUACACUUCAUUUUUGAUAUGCCAAACCCAUGAUUGUUUUUCCUUUCCAUGCAAAAUCAGGGAAAUUUCAAAUUCAAUCUUAAGCUUCUGAUAUGAUCUUUACAACAGCAGAAGACAGAACCAAAUGGAUCUUGGAAGCCCAUGGCUGGAAAUGUAUAGGCCUCUGUUUCUGCUGGAAAUUUCUCUAUCAAGGGAGAAGGCCAAACAAAUAAAAUAAAAAUAAGAAAAAUGGGGGAACUUAAAAGACUCAAUUGUAACUUAUCUUCAUUAGUACCUCAAAAGAAGAGAACUGAAUUGUAAUUUCUCUUACAUGAUUGCCUCAGAAAUGAAAAAUAAAGGAAAGGAAAAGUCUUCUACAUUCCAAA